UCAAGAGAUCCUGCGGCGAAGAUGUAACGGGGCUCAAGCCACGAGCCGAAGCUUUGGAUGCACAGCGAUGUGCGUGGUAGCGGAGCGUUCUGUGAUAUAGAACGCUGCCUCCUUGGUAUCUUCGGAUACAUUGGAGGCAAUGUUCUGACUGUGAAGCCGGGCUGUAAGGCAUCCGGUGGAGUGAUCAGAAGUGAGAAUGUUGACAUGAGUAGCGAUAAAGAGGGUGAGAGACCCUCUCGCCGAAAGUCCAAGGGUUCCUGCUUAAAGCUAAUCUGAGCAGGGUAAGCCGGCCCCUAAGGCGAGGCCGAAAGGCGUAGUCGAUGGGAACCACGUUAAUAUUCGUGGGCCAGGAGGAUGUGACGGAUCUCAAAGGUAGUUCGAUCUUAUCGGAUUGAUCGGGCUGCUCAGAGGUUCCAGGAAAUAGCCCUCCAUCAGACCGUACCCUAAACCGACACAGGUGGACUGGUAGAGAAUACCAAGGCGCUUGAGAGAACCACGUUUAAGGAACUCGGCAAAAUGCCUCCGUAAGUUCGCGAGAAGGAGGCCCGGUUCGUGGGCAACCAUGGGCCGGGGGCACAAACUAGGGGGUGGCGACUGUUUACUUAAAACAUAGGGCUGUGCGAAGCCGUAAGGCGACGUAUACAGUCUGACGCCUGCCCGGUGCUGGAAGGUUAAAAGGAGGGGUGCAAGCUCCGAAUUGAAGCCCCAGUAAACGGCGGCCGUAACUAUAACGGUCCUAAGGUAGCGAAAUUCCUUGUCGGGUAAGUUCCGACCUGCACGAAUGGCGUAACGAUCUCCCCGCUGUCUCAAACGUGGACUCAGCGAAAUUGAACUGUGUGUCAA
rnacentral:ncRNA from 2 species